ACUUAGUUUAGUAAUAGAGAUACUUUCAGGAUACAAAUAUUGCGUACAUUAAUGAAAAUGCCCGAAAACAAUAGUGAAGAUUGAUGAGUGUAGGACAAUACUGAGUACCUGAUUGGUUGAUUCUGAUGUUAAUUUGAAAAUGGACCAAUAGCAAUACUGCAUUCCAAGACCGAUCCCAAAACUCUGGUUUUAUUAUUUUUUUAAAGCCUAUUCUUAAGAAUUAAAUAAGAUUGUU